GACGAACGCUGGCGGCGUGCCUAAUACAUGCAAGUCGAACGAGAGCGACCGGUGCUUGCACUGGUCAAUCUAGUGGCGAACGGGUGAGUAACACGUGGUAACCUGCCCAUCAGAGGGGGAUAACAUCCGGAAACGGAUGCUAAAACCGCAUAGGUCUUCGAGCCGCAUGGCUUGAAGAGGAAAAGAGGCGCCAGCUUCUGCUGAUGGAUGGACCCGCGGUGCAUUAGCUAGUUGGUGAGGUAACGGCUCACCAAGGCCGUGAUGCAUAGCCGACCUGAGAGGGUGAUCGGCCACAUUGGGACUGAGACACGGCCCAAACUCCUACGGGAGGCAGCAGUAGGGAAUCUUCCGCAAUGGACGCAAGUCUGACGGAGCAACGCCGCGUGAGUGAAGAAGGUUUUCGGAUCGUAAAACUCUGCUGUUAGAGAAGAACAAGUGCUAGAGUAACUGUUAGCGCCUUGACGGUAUCUAACCAGAAAGCCACGGCUAACUACGUG
rnacentral:rRNA from 1 species